GCCCCUGUGGAUCACAGUGGUCGUCUCGGUUCAAUCUCAGUUCAAUGAAGAAUUCUUUGUGUUGACAGCGAGAAGGCGGAGGUUCCAAUCCUCCCGGGGGCA